rnacentral:rRNA from 1 species
UACGAAGGGGGCUAGCGUUGUUCGGAUUUACUGGGCGUAAAGCGCACGUAGGCGGAUUGUUAAGUGAGAGGUGAAAUCCCGGAGCUCAACUCCGGAACUGCCUUUCAUACUGGCAAUCUAGAGUCCGGAAGAGGUGAGUGGAACUCCUAGUGUAGAGGUGGAAUUCGUAGAUUAUUAGGAAGAACACCAGUGGCGAAGGCGGCUCACUGGUCCGGUACUGACGCUGAGGUGCGAAAGCGUGGGGAGCAAACAGG